CAAGAGCAUCAAGGCCCAGGCUAACCGUGGAAAAGACGGGACACGCGGCCAAGGAAACAGGAACCACUGGGGCUUCAAGGCCAUGAAGGAGGACAAGUUGAAGAGGCCGCUCUCAGACAUUGAGUCGUGGAAGCUGGCCCGCGAGCGGAGUGAUCGCAAGGAGGGCGAGAGCCAGUACUACGGCAAGACCGAGGAGCACCUGGAGUCUUACACUCA